CCCAUCAGGCAAAAUAUUCUGCCCAUUAAGUCAUUCAGAGAAGAGGCGUUACAAGUGGGCGAACCAGCCAGGGGAUCGAGUAAGCUGGCGCAAUGGGCAAAUCAGAGGAAAGGAGUAAAUCUGAUGGCUUUCAUACAGCAGUUGAUGAUACGUCUGUGACAGUUUUCCCCGGAGUUGAAGAUCAUUCCUCUUCUGAAGCUUUUUCCCUGUGUUCUUGAGGCAGAAACAAGUUCCUCAGAUGUCCUGCAUUCUUCUCUUCCAAUCCCAGAUGGUCCAAAGGUCAAUUCUCUUCAGUCUUGGAUCAGUUUUACGUUGAUAAGUCUUUCUUGCCCUUGCAAUUCAGUCAUCCUGCAACCUACACUCUGUUUCCCAGCUAUGCUGACAGCAACGAUGCUAAAGUGUUGUCCUAUUCUGCAGAUGAUGAUGUCCUACCAGAUGCCAAAGACCCUUAUGUCUCCAAAACGUCUUCCCUAAGGGCCGAGAAUACUGAGGGAGAUUGAAUCCCCCCAACACUUGGGGAAGGGAAGAGUAGGAGUUGGGCAGAAUCUGAAGGGUUACAGAAAUGCAAUGUAAAUAGUUAAAGAGAUAGUUUCAUGUUGUUGUUGAAAAUGGGAUACUUGGGGGAUAGUGUAGUAUAAAGGGUUAACUGAUAGGAUAUGCUCAUGUAUGACGUAGAUGAUGAUAUACUACUGACAACAGUCAGUUAU